UGUCUCCUCCUCUGUCUCCUCCUCUGCCUCCUCCUCUGCCUCCUCCCCUGCAGCGCCCUGUCCAGCCAACUGGAGCCUCUGGUCCUGCAGCAUCAGCUGGGUCCAGCGUUGCAGACCAGGCCCCUGCUGCAGUCCUCGGACCUGACGGCAUCCCAGGCUGGGAUAAGGUCCAGGACUUGGCCGAGUACCUGGUGACCCUGCGUCAGGCUCUCUACCUGGACGAGCAGCAGGUCAGAGGUCAUCUGCCUGUGACCUCUGACCUGGACAAGAGGAGGAUCAGUUACCAACCCAGGCACCAAGCCAAGCUGGCACACGGCCGCUUUAAGGCCCCCAAGAAUACGGGCGUCACCCCGGGUGUGGACAGUGUCAAGAGGAGCCUGAUUGGUCCUCCAGGGGGACCGGCUCAGUGGCCCAGCACCAGUCGUCUAGUUGAGGCUCUGUGCAUUAAAUUGUGUUCACUGCACAAGUCCCCAACAAAAAAGGAUGGAGUGCGGCUUCCUCGGUGGACCAAAGUUCUCACCGACUACCACCACAUCUGAGACCUGGUGCUGGACUGCCCCCCCCUGAUGGAGGCCACCUCUCUUCAGCUUUUUGUCCUCAAUCAGAGGACUCUGACACAGUGUUUUCUGAUUGCAGGUUUAAUUGAAGGGAGAGCACGCAGGAGAUUAGUGUCCUCACCCAGGGCCUUGCUGCAGAGGACCACAUCGUUGUGGCCAGCUCACAGCUGCCUCCUCCGUGGGAGAAGCUGGACGAAGCGCCGUCCCCCUCAGGACUCCAGCAUGAGUUUUCCCUCCCGCCAAACAGAGCAGGUAAGGCUCCUAAGCUGCGGCCAGGCAGACGACCUGCUAGUGCCACCGUCCUGCAGCCCGUCACCCCAGCAGCUCCUCUUCCUGUCCCAGCUCAGCUUGUUUUAUUGAACCCUGGGUCGACAGUGAUGGCAGCAGGUCAUCACAGGGCUGCUCCUCCUCUGGCUCCUUAUUUAACACCUGCCACACAGGUGGCUCCUGCACCCACUGCCCCUGCGUCUGUGUCCUGCUCCACUGAGAGGAACAGGCGACGCAGGGCAGAAGAGGAGGCCACCGGGAGCCAGAAACGAAAGUAUGUGAGAGAAGUGGCUUUUAACAAGUGCAGCAAAUGUGGGCAGCCAAAAACAAAAGAGUUUGGCCACAGCCGAUUUGGCAGCGCCACUUUCUGCCCCAGUGCUUCAGGGGCAAAUCCUUGGAGCAGUGGCUGGUAGAACAGCGGCAGCUGAAGAAACCGGGAAACCCACCCUAAUAAUGAUGAUAAUAAUAAUAAUAAUAAUGAUAAUAGUAACAAAACCAAUAACAUGUAAAUAUAUAUA